rnacentral:rRNA from 1 species
CCAAUAGCGUAUAUUAAAGUUGUUGCAGUUAAAAAGCUCGUAGUUGAAUUUCGGGAUCAAUUUAUUGGUCGUGCCAACGGUACGCACUGGUACAAUUGGUUUCUCCCUUCUGACGAAGCAUGAUGUCAUUAACUUGAUGUCGUGGGGAAUCAGGACUGUUACUUUGAAAAAAUUAGAGUGUUUAAAGCAAGCUUUAGCUUGAAUACAUUAGCAUGGAAUAAUGAAAUAGGACGUUUGAUCUUAUUUCGUUGGUUUCUAGGAUCGACGUAAUGAUUAAUAGGGAUAGUUGGGGGCAUUAGUAUUCAAUUGUCAGAGGUGAAAUUCUUGGAUUUAUUGAAGACUAACUACUGCGAAAGCAUUUGCCAAGGAUGUUUUCAUUAAUCAAGAACGAAAGUUAGGGGAUCGAAGACGAUCAGAUACCGUCGUAGUCUUAACCAUAAACUAUGCCGACUAGGGAUCGGAUGAUGUUAAUUUUUUAAUGACUCAUUCGGCGCCUUACG